CGGGUAUUAGCGCAGCUUGGUAGCGCGCCAUCUUGGGGUGAUGGAGGUCGUCGGUUCAAAUCCGGCAUAUCCGA
rfam:Paenibacillus pectinilyticus strain KCTC13222 scaffold4, whole genome shotgun sequence.